AUUGAACGCUGGCGGCAGGCCUAACACAUGCAAGUCGAGCGAGCGGCGGACGGGUGAGUAAUGUCUGGGAAACUGCCUGAUGGAGGGGGAUAACUACUGGAAACGGUAGCUAAUACCGCAUACCAUCAGAUGUGCCCAGAUGGGAUUAGCUAGUAGGUGGGGUAACGGCUCACCUAGGCGACGAUCCCUAGCUGGUCUGAGAGGAUGACCAGCCAAACCUGAACUGAGAAACGGUCCAGACUCCUACGGGAGGCAGCAGGGGGGAAUAUUGCACCAGGGGGGCAAGCCUGAGGCAGCCAUGCCGGGUGGGUGAAGAAGGGCUUCGGGUUGGAAAGCACUUUCAGCGGGGAGGCGUUACCCGCAGAAGAAGCACCGGCUAACUCCGUGCCAGCAGCCGCGGUAAUUC
rnacentral:rRNA from 1 species